UACGUAGGGGGCUAGCGUUGUCCGGAAUCAUUGGGCGUAAAGAGCGUGUAGGCGGUCCGGUAAGUCCGCUGUGAAAGUCGGGGGCUCAACCCUCGAAUGCCGGUGGAUACUGUCGGGCUAGAGUGCGGAAGAGGCGAGUGGAAUUCCUGGUGUAGCGGUGAAAUGCGCAGAUAUCGGGAGGAACACCAGUGGCUAAGGCGGCUCUCUAGUACGGUACUGACGCUGAGACGCGAAAGCGUGGGGAGCGAACAGG
rnacentral:rRNA from 1 species